ACUAUCUAUUAUAUAAACUUCACACGAUCUCUGUCUCGCAUCGAUGAGACGCAGCGAAUGCGAUACGUAUACGAUGCAGCUCUCGAUCAUCGAUCUCGACGCACAUGCACGUGGGUAUUCCCACGGUAUGCAUGAUGAGCGGUAACUCUCUCGUCUACGACGGUCUUGCCACUAAAGAAAAAAGUUCAAUAUCAAAAACAUUGUCCUCUUCUCCUCUCCCUCAUCAAUGUAAGACUACCCGCUGAACUUAAGCAUAUCAAUAAGCGGAGGAAAAGAAACCAACAGGGAUUGCCUCAGUAACGGCGAGUGAAGCGGCAAAAGCUCAAAUUUGAAACCUUUCAGGAUUGUAAUUUGAAGAUGGCAUCAAAAAAAGGCUGAAAACUUAUGUUCCUUGGAACAGGACGUCACAGAGGGUGAGAAUCCCGUGCAGUUCAACGCCCUACCUUUCUUGCCAUCAAAGAGUCGAGUUGUUUGGGAAUGCAGCUCAAAGUGGGUGGUAAAUUCCAUCUAAAGCUAAAUACUGGCGAGAGACCGAUAGCGAACAAGUACCGUGAGGGAAAGAUGAAAAGCACUUUGAAAAGAGAGUGAAACAGUACGUGAAAUUGUUGAAAGGGAAGGGCAUGAAGAUAGAUUGUGAGGGUCGUGGGGAGUGGAGAAAAAAUCACGUGGGAACGUGGCCUUCGGGUGUUAUAUCCCACCACAUUUCUCCCACCCCCCACGAGGACCGCUUUUAGGACCCUCACGUAAUAUCUCCACGCCGCCCGUCUUGAAACACGGACCAAGGAGUCUAACGUCUAUGCGAGUGUAUGGGUGUCAGCCCAUCCGCGCAUGAAAGUGAACAGAUAGGAAUUCAUCCACUAUCGACCAACGUCGUUCUCGGACGGCGUGAGUAGGAG
rnacentral:rRNA from 1 species